GAUGAACGCUGGCGGCGUGCCUAAUACAUGCAAGUCGAGCGAACAGAUGAGGAGCUUGCUCCUCUGACGUUAGCGGCGGACGGGUGAGUAACACGUGGAUAACCUACCUAUAAGACUGGGAUAACUUCGGGAAACCGGAGCUAAUACCGGAUAAUAUAUUUAACCGCAUGGUUCAAUAGUGAAAGACGGUUUUGCUGUCACUUAUAGAUGGAUCCGCGCCGCAUUAGCUAGUUGGUAAGGUAACGGCUUACCAAGGCAACGAUGCGUAGCCGACCUGAGAGGGUGAUCGGACAAACUGGAACUGAGACAAGGUCCAGACUCCUAAGGGAGGCAGCAGUAGGGAAUCUUCCGCAAUGGGCGAAAGCUUGACGGAGCAACGCCGCGUGAGUGAUGAAGGUCUUCGGAUCGUAAAACUCUGUUAUUAGGGAAGAACAAAUGUGUAAGUAACUAUGCACGUCUUGACGGUACCUAAUCAGAAAGCCACGGCUAACUACGUG
rnacentral:rRNA from 1 species